rnacentral:lncRNA from 1 species
GCAAGUAGCACAUGCGAUUCAGCUCUUCUGGUUAGAUGAAGGUUAACCCCUGAGUCCGUUUCCCCACUUCACAAACAGGAUAAUAACAUCACCAGGCAGUGCUUCCAUGACCUUCCCAGAGAUCAAGACUGUGAUGUGUGACUGACGCAGAGCCUGGGGCUUGCAGCACCCCAACUCCCUCCCGUAGUCCUCCCCCUUCAUCUCCAAGUUACGGGGCCUCAAGUGUCAGAGGGACACUGUCUUCCUGUCCCACCUCUGCAAAAGGUUUACAAAGUGAACUUUGCAGUCCUCUCAUUUUCCUGAUUGGCAGAAGCCAUCCACUCUUCAAUUGUAUGCUGAACAGUAAGAUGGUCCCUGCCCUGAGAAUCUGUAUCCCUGAGAAGCAGGAAGGAAACGGUCACAGAGCUCAGCCAGCCGGGUCAUCAGCACACAGAACUGCUGUUUGCAUCCCGAGCCAAUGGAAGACUCAGGAUGUAGAAGACCCCUUCUCUCAUCUCAUCCCCGAACUGGGCCUCCAACCAUCUGACACAGAAGCACUUGUGAGGGUCCGAUAGAAGUCAGCUUUUGGCAGGAAACACAAACCACCAGAUCAAGCUGGACAGAGAAGAGAACAACUGGACCGAGUUACUGGUCCUUCAGUGAUGGCUGCCAAGAUGCACGGGGCUCUGACCGGGGCAGGCACACCUGAGAUGCUUGGGCACAAGAGGAAGCCCCCGCCCGUAUCAGGGAGGUAAGUCUGGCCAGGGGUUGGGGCUCAGAUCCUAACAGAGUCAGCCUCCUCUCCUCCCACUGCACUUCCAGCUCAACCCAACAACCUCCUAUGCCCCAUUAGCACCAAGACUGAUCGCCUGGGAAGGAAGGGGGCUGGCGGUGGAAGGCUGGCGGCCUCUCAUUUCCAAACAGAAUGGUCUCGUAACUGAGCCUUGCUACUCCCACUCCAUGGAGCUGGGUCUACCUCAACAUUUCUGCCCUCAAGGCAGGUUCAUCUGGGCCAAAGGCCCCUCAGCAGCCCUCUUAGAUGCCAGCUUCAAAGCUCAGCAGCCCUGAGGAUGAAUGAGGCUGAAGAGGCCUGAGGUCCCCAGGGCAUCUCUGCACAUGUGUGGUUAGGGGUUUGUGCUCCUGAGGAAGACCGCGGAGGAAAGUGGCAUUUACAGCCCUGGAGGAGGGGAGGGCGGCACUCACCUCGCAGGGCCUUGGAUCGGGUGCGAGCUCGCUUGUCUUCAUUUUCUAAGCUCAUCUGCAAGCAAAAAACCACGACGUUAACAAGAAAACCCAGCCAGUGCCUCUGGAGUACAGAGCCAUCAGGAAUGUCUGGCCAUUUUCUGGCUCAAGCUUUGACAGCAAAGGUGAUUUUGGGCACAGAAUGACAAGGAUGGGCUCACAGGACAAGAAAGGCCUGGGGCCAGGAGCAGCAGGUGGGAGGGUGUAGAGAAAGGACCUUCUACAAGGCUUGGAAGUGUCCCAUCAGCAUGUCCCCGGCCUUGGCAAGGAGGGUACAGUGCACCGUGCCCCCAGGUUUGCACCUGCCAACAAGUGCUGAGGCAUGGGCCCUGCGCCACUGAAGCCUGAUGAAUGUCCGUAUGUUAUCCAAGAGGGUCUCCUGGCCCGACACAGAGCAGCACCCACUGCUCACCUGGUCAGGCAGGUGCUGAGGCAUCAGGGCAGGUCGCUCACCACAGACUCAGCCACCAGCGGCAGUGCUGGGUCGUCCAGUGGCUUCUGACCCCAACGUGUCCCCAGAGCACAGCUUCCCAUGGGCCCUUUCUUCCC